rnacentral:rRNA from 1 species
UACGUAGGUGACCAGCGUUGUCCGGAUUUACUGGGCGUAAAGAGCGCGCAGGCGGUCGUUCAAGUCGAGUGUGAAAGCCCCCGGCUCAACUGGGGAGGGUCAUUCGAUACUGAUCGACUUGAAGGCAGGAGAGGGAAGCGGAAUUCCCGGUGUAGUGGUGAAAUGCGUAGAUAUCGGGAGGAACACCAGUGGCGAAGGCGGCUUCCUGGCCUGUUCUUGACGCUGAGGCGCGAAGGCUAGGGGAGCAAACGGG